rnacentral:rRNA from 1 species
AGUCGUAACAAGGUUUCCGUAGGUGAACCUGCGGAAGGAUCAUUAGUGAAUAUAGGAUGUCCAACUUAACUUGGAGUCCGAACUCUCACUUUCUAACCCUGUGCAUUUGUUUGGGAUAGUAGCCUCUCGGGGUGAACUCCUAUUCACUUAUAAACACAAAGUCUAUGAAUGUAUUUAAUUUAUAACAAAAUAAAACUUUCAACAACGGAUCUCUUGGCUCUCGCAUCGAUGAAGAACGCAGCGAAAUGCGAUAAGUAAUGUGAAUUGCAGAAUUCAGUGAAUCAUCGAAUCUUUGAACGCACCUUGCGCUCCAUGGUAUUCCGUGGAGCAUGCCUGUUUGAGUGUCAUGAAUACUUCAACCCUCCUCUUUUCUAGUGAAAGAGAAGGUGCUUGGUUUCUGAGCGUUUUGCUGGCCUCACGGUCGAGCUCGCUCGUAAUGCAUUAGCAUCCGCAAUCGAACUUCGGAUUGACUUGGCGUAAUAGACUAUUCGCUGAGGAAUUCUAAUCUUCGGAUUAGAGCCGGGUUAGGUUAAAGGAAGCUUCUAAUCCUAAUGUCUAUAUUUUAAGAUUAGAUCUCAAAUCAGGUAGGACUACCCGCUGAACUUAAGCAUAUCAAUAAGUCG